rnacentral:rRNA from 1 species
AUUGAACGCUGGCGGCAUGCCUUACACAUGCAAGUCGAACGGUAACAGGUCUUCGGAUGCUGACGAGUGGCGAACGGGUGAGUAAUACAUCGGAACGUGCCCGAUCGUGGGGGAUAACGAGGCGAAAGCUUUGCUAAUACCGCAUACGAUCUACGGAUGAAAGCGGGGGAUCUUCGGACCUCGCGCGGACGGAGCGGCCGAUGGCAGAUUAGGUAGUUGGUGGGAUAAAAGCUUACCAAGCCGACGAUCUGUAGCUGGUCUGAGAGGAUGAUCAGCCACACUGGGACUGAGACACGGCCCAGACUCCUACGGGAGGCAGCAGUGGGGAAUUUUGGACAAUGGGCGAAAGCCUGAUCCAGCCAUACCGCGUGCAGGAUGAAGGCCUUCGGGUUGUAAACUGCUUUUGUACGGAACGAAAAGCCUCUUUCUAAUAAAGAGGGGUCAUGACGGUACCGUAAGAAUAAGCACCGGCUAACUACGUG